rnacentral:rRNA from 1 species
GAUGAACGCUGGCGGCGUGCCUAAUACUUGCAGGUCGAGCGAACAGACGAGGAGCUUGCUCCUCUGACGUUAGCGGCGGACGGGUGAGUAACACGUGGAUAACCUACCUAUAAGACUGGGAUAACUUCGGGAAACCGGAGCUAAUACCGGAUAAUAUAUUGAACCGCAUGGUUCAAUAGUGAAAGACGGUUUUGCUGUCACUUAUAGAUGGAUCCGCGCCGCAUUAGCUAGUUGGUAAGGUAACGGCUUACCAAGGCAACGAUGCGUAGCCGACCUGAGAGGGUGAUCGGCCACACUGGAACUGAGACACGGUCCAGACUCCUACGGGAGGCAGCAGUAGGGAAUCUUCCGCAAUGGGCGAAAGCCUGACGGAGCAACGCCGCGUGAGUGAUGAAGGUCUUCGGAUCGUAAAACUCUGUUAUUAGGGAAGAACAAAUGUGUAAGUAACUAUGCACGUCUUGACGGUACCUAAUCAGAAAGCCACGGCUAACUACGUG